rnacentral:rRNA from 1 species
AUCUACGGCCGUACCACCCUGAACAUGUCUGAUCUCGUCUGAUCUUGGAAGCGAAGCAGGGUCAGGCCUGGUUAGUCCUUGGGUGGGAGACCUACUGGGUGCUGUAGGCU